AGUCAACAUGCCCAGGGGACGUGGAUAACCUCGGGAAACUGAGGAUAAACCGCGAUAAGUCACUGCUUCUGGAAUGGGCAAUGACUUAAAUCUAUAUGGCCCCUGGAUUGGACUGCGGCCGAUCAGGCUGUUGGUGAGGUAAUGGCCCACCAAACCUGUAACCGGUACGGGCUCUGAGAGGAGGAGCCCGGAGAUGGGCACUGAGACAAGGGCCCAGGCCCUAUGGGGCGCAGCAGGCGCGAAACCUCUGCAAUAGGCGAAAGCCUGACAGGGUUACUCUGAGUGAUUUCCGUUAAGGAGAUCUUUUGGCACCUCUAAAAAUGGUGCAGAAUAAGGGGUGGGCAAGUCUGGUGUCAGCCGCCGCGGUAAUACCAGCACCCCGAGUGGUCGGGACGUUUAUUGGGCCUAAAGCAUCCGUAGCCGGUUCUGCAAGUCUUCCGUUAAAUCCACCUGCUUAACAGAUGGGCUGCGGAAGAUACUACAGAGCUAGGAGGCGGGAGAGGCAAGCGGUACUCGAUGGGUAGGGGUAAAAUCCGUUGAUCCAUUGAAGACCACCAGUGGCGAAGGCGGCUUGCCAGAACGCGCUCGACGGUGAGGGAUGAAAGCUGGGGGAGCAAACCGGAUUAGAUACCCGGGUAGUCCCAGCUGUAAACGAUGCAGACUCGGUGAUGAAUUGGCUUUAUGCCAAUUCAGUGCCGCAGGGAAGCCGUUAAGUUUGCCGCCUGGGGAGUACGGUCGCAAGACUGAAACUUAAAGGAAUUGGCGGGGGAGCACCACAAGGGGUGAAGCCUGCGGUUCAAUUGGAGUCAACGCCGGAAAUCUUACCGGGGGCGACAGCAGAAUGAAGGUCAAGCUGAAGACUUUACCAGACAAGCUGAGAGGAGGUGCAUGGCCGUCGCCAGCUCGUGCCGUGAGGUGUCCUGUUAAGUCAGGUAACGAGCGAGACCCCUGCCUCUAGUUGCUACCAUUAUUCUCAGGAGUAGUGGAGCUAAUUAGAGGGACUGCCGUCACUGAGACGGAGGAAGGAGGGGGCUACGGCAGGUCAGUAUGCCCCGAAACCCUCGGGCCACACGCGGGCUGCAAUGGUAAGGACAAUGAGUAUCGAUUCCGAAAGGAGGAGGCAAUCUCUAAACCUUACCACAGUUAUGAUUGAGGGCUGAAACUCGCCCUCAUGAAUAUGGAAUCCCUAGUAACCGCGUGUCACUAUCGCGCGGUGAAUACGUCCCUGCUCCUUGCACACACCGCCCGUCGCUUCAUCGAAGUUGGUUCUUGGCGAGGUGAUGCCUAAUUGGUACUAUCGAACCUGGGGUCAGCAACGAGGGAGAAGUCGUAACAAGGUGGCCGUAGGGGAACCUGCGGCCGGAUCACCUCCUUAGUUAUCAUCUUGCAACACAGAGCAUAAGACAAAAAGAGAAAAAUGGGUGAAGAGGGGAGAAAAACCCAACUAACCAACCAACUUGCUUGUUUCCUUGAAGUUUUUGGAUGCUUUAUAUGGUUUUGUGUGCGUUGCAAACGCGGAAACUGCUGAUGAUGCCUGUGCAAGUAUUAUAAUGAAUAUGGGUAGUGCUGUUUUGUUCUGUGAAGAAAACAAUAAUAGCGUCAUGGAGCAAUUAGCAUUAUAAUGUGUCUAUCUGGUCUUUUUGCAUGCAAAAAGUCAAGUCAGUACCAUAAAACAAAAAAAACACUGAAUUAGUAAAUAGAAAAAAGAACGGAUGCAAUUCUUUGUCACAAAACUGAGGAGUUGGGGAGACAAAGGAUGAAGUUGGCGUAGCAGGCAGCAGCAGAACCACCAUAAGAAAAAAGAGGGUGGUAUGCUGCCUGCGAUGAUGCCGUGUAUAGGAUCAAACCAUUAAAAAACAUAACAAAUACAUUAGAAUAUAUUAAAAUCAUAAUGAUUCACGUAAAAAUGAAGUAGUGAAUAAUUAACAAAAUAAGGUAUAUCUGGUUGUAGCGCAGUGUAAUAUAUUAAAAACAUACCUAGUUUUAUUCUAAAAAAAUAGAAAUUAAUUAGUUAUUACCAUCAAUAGAAAACAAAACUGGAGCUGGUGCAAAGACGCCGAUUGGUGGAUG
rnacentral:rRNA from 1 species